AGACCCCGCCGCCUCUUCGAUUUUCCAAUCCCCACUUCCCCGUCUCCUCCACGGACCCCCAAAAAAUCCCAAAUUGCCGGCGGAACCCUAGGUCUGGUGCUAGUGCUACUGCCACCACCUCCGGCGGAAUCGGCGGCGGCUCCUCCCCGGCGCCGCACCUCGGAGGUUGCGCUGCUCGGAGCGUCGCCCGUCGCGUCCUUCCUCCGGCUACACCUUCAGGAUUCGCGCCGCUCUGGUCCGAGGGCUUUGGACCGUCCUCUUACCUCUGUGCACAUGUGUUAUCCGUUCAUGUGCAAAGCAGGACGUUUACACCAUCAACGGGUGUCAGACAUGGACUCUUCCACCCUCCUUUGCCAGUGUUGUGUCAUGCUCGAGCACGCCAUCAACUUGUGCCGGACACGGACUCCACAUGAACUCCCUCCUUUGCCACAUAAUAGGCAUCGAGUGCUCUAAGGAAGCAUCCAAUCUCGCUGUUCUACCAACUUCGCCGGAACACCGACCGCCGGUGCUCCACCUGAGGUUUUAUUGCAGACCAUGCUGUAGAGUCGCACAAACCGCUAGUGCUGCUUUUGCUUUGUGACAUUUUCAGAUCCACAGAUAGAUCCGCUGAUGGAUUUAAGUUUUCAUUCACCAACUACUCAAUUUCCUCGGAGAUGAGGAUCGUUCUGUAGCUCAUGCGGAUCCAUCAGCAUGGAGAAGUUCGAUGAUUUUAAGGUUGGUGACUGGGUUACAGUCAAAGCAACAGUCCCGUCCUGAAAAUAGCCAUGAUACAGCCGAUGAAGUUAGGAUAGUUGCGAUUCAGGUUUGUGUGGAAAGUAAGCUGGUUUGCUCUACCCACCAUGACUCAUUUAUUCUGUGCAAUGUGACAUUUUCCUGGGCCUUCUGUUUGCAGUGUGUCACAUACAAAGAGAAGAUUAAGAGACUAAUUUCUUAAUGAUUUU